rnacentral:lncRNA from 1 species
CUCACUGGAGUCAAUGGCAGCAUGUGGAAGAUUUACUGCAAGUGGUUUUGGCUUUGACCUGUUAUUAUUUACAAAAAGGAAAUUUGUUUGCAUGUGGAAGACAUGACUUUGUUGUUUCCUUCAGCAUGGAUAGGAAUUAAAGACUAUUGCUUUACUUAGCCAGUGUAGACAAUUUGCACAUGAAAAGUAAGAAAAAAACCCCACACCAAUCGACAAUCAGAGCAUAUUCAACAAGCUAAGAUUUAGAGUUAGUAAAAUAACAAUGGGUAAACAAGGAAAAAAUGCUAUAAUGUAGGGAAGGAUUUACCAAUCCACAAAAUCACUUUAGUAAUGUUUUUUCUCACAUGAAAGAGACAGCAAAUAAUUAAGUUUCCAAUUUUAACUCAUUUGUCUUACUUGAGUUUAACAGUUUAUGAAAAUUGAAGGAAAAAACCUAAGCCAGGAUAAAACAGGGAAAAGAGAAUGCAACUUAGGAUCUGACACACCUUUCAAAACUACUGGUAAAAAGGACACAGCGCAAAGUGUAAAUUGUAGUACAGGAAGACAUGGACAGCAUGUGGUGACAACAGCAUUCAGAGUCAGUACAUGGUGGUUGGGAAGCAUUGGGAGACAACUCUCACAGGCUGAGGGGAAACCUUCCACUGAGUCAGCAGAUCCUGGAUAGAGGCGGAGCACACAACGGACAAAGCAAGGCUAGGAGAGCAGGGUUUGCUCAGAGAAGGCUCAGGUAGGACCUUGUUGCUGUCUACAACCACCUAACCAGAUGAUAGAGAAGACUGAGCCAGACUCCCCCUGAAAAUACUGAGGAACAGGUGGAGCAGCAGUGGACACAAGUCACAACAUGGGAAAUUCUGGUUAGAUAUGAAGUUAUUGUUGUUGUUUUUAAUUUUUAUUUUUUAUUAUGGUUAUUUUUUAAAUUAUUGUUCUUUUUAUUUACUUAUUUAUUUUUUAGCAGGAGGGUCAAAUACUGGGCCAGACUGCCCAGAAAAGUUAUUCCAUUCUGUGAUUCUGUGACUGCCAGGAACUUCAGAUAUAGUAUUUUUCAGACCUUUAUUCCCACAUCUAAUUCCCACAGUAAAUGAAUGUAACUACUUUAUGCACUUGUGUGCACUUAAUGUUUCUUAAAAAUAAACUUUAAAUAUGUAC